GAUGAACGCUGGCGGCGUGCUUAACACAUGCAAGUCGAACGGGAUCCAGGGAGUGCUUGCACUUUUUGGUGAGAGUGGCGAACGGGUGAGUAACACGUGAGUAACCUGUCCUUUUCUUUGGGAUAAGCUCCUGAAAGGGUGUUUAAUACCUUAUGUUCUGUCUGCCUCGCAUGGGGUGGGUGGGAAAGAUUUGUUUCGGUAAGGGGUGGGCUCGCGGUCUAUCAGCUUGUUGGUGGGGUGAUGGCUUACCAAGGCUUUGACGGGUAGCCGGCCUGAGAGGGUGGUCGGUCACAUUGGGACUGAGAUACGGCCCAGACUCCUGCGGGAGGCAGCAGUGGGGGAUAUUGCACAAUGGGCGCAAGCCUGAUGCAGCGACGCCGCGUGGGGGAUGAAGGCCUUCGGGUUGUAAACUUCUUUUGCUCUGAACAAGGCGCAUCUUUGGGGUGUGUUGAGUGUAGGGGUUGAUUAGCGCCGGCUAACUACGUG
rnacentral:rRNA from 1 species